rnacentral:lncRNA from 1 species
CAUGAUCAGUGCUGGCCCAGCCAGCAGGCUCCUCCACCGUCUCCCUCCUCCCGGCUCCUGGAGAUCUGCCUGCCUGCUGCACACAUGUGUUCCACCCUGUUUUUGCAUUCUGUGAGUAUUCCAAGAGCAGCUCUCUGCCCUGCACAGGGGGUCUAAGGUGGCCCACACAGCUUGUGACUGGGUAGGAAGGCUGUCUAGCUGCAGGUUCACAAUUUUAGGAUGCAUUCAACCUGCAGAUAGCAUGAGUCAUCAAUAACAGCUCUUUUACUGAUAAAGAUAAAGGUCAUCUUUUUAGAGUGCCUGGGUGGCUCAGGAUGCAACUCUUGAUAUCCACUUAGGUCAUGAUCUUACAGGUCAUGGAAUUGAGCCAUGUCGGAUUCUGCACUGACAGAAUGAGCCUGCUUGGGAUUCUCUCUCUCUCCCUCUCUCUGCCCCUCCCCUGCUUGUGUGUGCUCUGUCUCUCAAAAUAAAAUAAACAUAAAAAAAUAUUUUAAAAAAGGUCAUAUUGGGGUGCCUGGGUGGCUCAGUCAGUUAAGCGUCCGACUUCGGCUCAGGUCAUGAUCUCACGGUUUGUGAGUUCAAGCCCUGUGUCGGGCUCUGAGCUGACAGCUUAGAGCCUGGAGCCUGCUUUGGAUUUUGUCUCCCUCUCUCUCUGCCCCUCCCUCACUUGUGCUUUGUCUCUUGUUCGCUCUCAAAAAUAAACAUUAAAAAUUUUUUUUAUUAAAAAAAAUUUUUAAAGGCCAUCUUUUGAUUGAUGUUUGUGUGACUUCUGUGUUUACUUUUCAGUUGAUACUUAACUUGGGCCGGGAAUGUGUCAUUUUAACUCUUUAUCUCUGUUAGAAUGACUGUAAAUUUUAGGGGAUAGAGCUGACAGGCCUUGGUGACUAAUUAGGUGUGGAAUAUGAAGGAAAAUGACAGAUCAAAGAUGGUUCCUAGGUUCCUGGCUUGCAUGACUAGGUAAACAGUGGUGCCAUUUAAUAAUCUAGAAGCCCUAAUUCUGAGAAUAGUGGUAGGCAUGUGGUGAGAAUGACUAGUGUGGGUGGAAAGAGCUGUACCUGUGGUGAGCGUUUGGGGAGGGUGAGUGAGCACCAUGCAUAAAAUGAGAAUGACUUGGUGGGGGGUUGGAUGGCUUGGAGGCUGGGAGAGUGAGGAGGAGGCCACGGAUAGAGUUCUGUAAGAGAUAAAGUCUUUAAGUAGGGUAUAGAAAGGGGGAUUAAUGCUGGAGACAUUUAGAAAGUAGACUCAAUAGAACUUAGUGACUAGCUGGAUAUGGAUAGAGAGAUGAGGGAAGGGGGUCCCGAGACACUCCAAGGUUUUAAGUAUGUGAACUUGGCCAUCUAAGUUAAACAUUUGGUAAUGACAAAUGUUGAUUUGAUAGAGUCUGUCAUUUUAAAUAUGAUAACUCUUUUAGCUACAAUAAAGGCAAGCAGGAUAUAGGGAAAGAAAAAUGAAAGAUGAACUUCUCAAAAGGAUAAAUCUCCUAUUCAAAGAAAAAAGAAGAAGAAACAAUCCAAACCCCUUAAAUCAGCAGCUCAGAGCAAUCUUUUAGGUUGAGGUGACCUUCCUUGUAAAUGUGAUACACUCUAUCAGGGGUUGGCAAAAUUUUCUAUAAGGAGCCAUAGAGUAAAUAUUUUAGUCUUUGCAGACCAUAUGGUCACUGCUGUAACUACCCAACUUUGCUGUUGUAGAGCAAAAGCAAUCAUAGACAACAGGUAAAUUAAUGGGCAUGGAUGUGUCCAAUAAAACUUUACUUAUAAAAUGGGCAGUGGGCUGGAUGUGGCUCACAGGCCACAAGCCACAGUUUGCUGACUUCUGCAGCUUACAUAAUACCUUACACAUGUGGCAUGGUUGCUUUACCUUCGACUCUUCGAAGAGGGCAAUGGCUAGUCCCAAGACUAGUUAAUAAAAGAGGGUCAUGCAAUGUUAUACAAAGUUGGGAGAAAAAUGGUUUUCUUUUGACUGAUAAGAUCCUACGUUAUAGUAGCAAGGGGAAUAUGACUCCCAUAUAUGGAUGUGUUGAGAAGUACUGGAAGAAGAUUAAUAAUCUGAUGCAAGAUGUCUGAAUUUUUAAAUGAAAUGGCCAAAGCAGAGAAGCGGUGAGGGUGAGGGGUUAGAAAUAGAAAAGAAAUCUUGGCAGCCCAUGUCCUUCUGACCACAUGUCUACCUUCAGGCCGUAGACCUUCCCUCUUUUCCCAUCCAGCAGCAGGAACAAGUCGAACAAAGAAAGGUGGUGACUCCUGCUUAUGGCAGGGACUGAAAGGACUUCCAGGUCACAGGAAGAGGGCAAAAGCUUGAUGGUGUUGGCGAAGGGCCACUGCUGAAGAGGGAAGGUGGGGACCACACAGAGGGAGAAACAAAGUGAGAGCAUCAUAGGGGUGGGGGAGAAGAGGGUGGUAUGAUGACAGAUAAGGCAUCUAUGGGGAUGCUUUCCAUCCCCAUGGGGACAUCCAUGGGGGAACAACCUCAAAGGAUGGUCAGUGAGGCCUAUGCUCAUGGACCAUGCUCAGGGAUGAAUCAGUUUGAUAAGGAGGGCAGUGGUGUACUUCUUUCCUCUACCACAGUCAUACAGUUUGGAAUCUGUCUAUGGAAAUACUCGAGUUCAGAAUUAUCUGACCCUCCUUCUGUGGUGUGCAUGUGUGUGUUCACUUGGCAGGGAAGGGGCAUAGAUCAUCCCCCAGCAAUACCAGUCAAUGGCAAAUUGGAGAGACAACGAAUGAUAUAAAUGAAAGCCAGAGAAACCAAGAUAAUUCUGAUGUGCUAUUAUGAUCAUACUGAUUUUAUGAUGAUAAAACCACAGAACUAGAAAGGACUGUGGGAGAGUAUCUGACCUAGUCUUCUGCCUUUAAGAAAAGUUAGUCUUUCUUAAUGAGGUAUGUGACAAAAGACCAGGCAUUCCUCCUCAAUAAUCCAUUCCAGUCUUUUUUUCACUCUGGCAGUCUGGAAAUUCUUCUUUAUGUCUAAUAGAAAUCUCUCCUACUUUAAUCCCAUUUUCUCUUAUUUGAUCUUCUGUGCCAUAGACAAACCAAAAACCCUUUACACUCUUUAAGACAUAGUAAAGGAUCAUUUAUUAGGGCAUUUGAACGUUGAGAAUAUUCAAACUACAGAACUGUGAUGAUGAUUCCUUCUGCCAGUGUUGGCUCAGUGGCCCAGAUCACUUAGUGCAGUCAGGGUGGUGCAGGGUAUAAUGGACAAAUAAAAAAAUAACCUUGUCAGUGGCUAUUUCAGGUGAAAGAACACCACACAUUUUAUGAAAUAAAGGUCAUUUACUACUGAGUAGAAAAAACUAUUGUGGUACAGUCCAGAUAGACAUUUGAAAAGGAAAAGGGCUGCAAAAGCAAGUAGACAUUGAUGAAUGUGUUCAAGUGAGAGUAGCAUUCACGUCUCCUUUAGUUUUGCUGGAAGCAAUUUCAACAAAUCCUGUUAGCAAUUUUCUCACACUUCUUUCUUCAGACAAUCAAGAAUCUCACAAUAAGUAAAUAUGGUUUGCUUUUUUACUAUUGUAUAUGGCUUUUGGAGGAUUAUUUUAAGGAAAUAUGCAUCACAAAUUCUACCUUUUGUAGUGUAAGAAUUGGAAAGCAUAACCUAUCUGUUGUUUUUAAGAUCAUUUAAUAUUUGAAGUUUCUUAUAAUGUAUUACAUUUUUUUUUAUAACGUGUUACAUUUUUGUUGUUGCUUUCAGGUAAGCCCAGAUAUCUUUACUUGAUGCAAAACGAUGACAAAUCCUGAAUCCGUUCUUUAUUUGAUGUAGCUUUAUUAGAUAAAAUGUUUCCUAGCCAUACAAAACUUUUGAAUUUAUAUACUUAUUUAUUUUGAUCAUUAAACACGUCCCAUUUUAGAUUCCAUUGUGUAUUUAUCAUGCUAUGCAUGGUAACAAAUUAACUCACAAAUCUCAGUGGCCUAACGUAACAGAGGUUUAUUUCUUGCUCACAUUACAUCCAACUCCUAUUUGGAUCAGUGGGGAGCUCUCUUCUACACAGUCUUUAAAUGUUAAAGAUCUUUUAUUUGAUCACAGUGUUCUUUUCAAGUUCAGAAUGAUCUUCUCAUUAAUUGCGUUACCCCUCAUUCACCUUUUCUCAGGUGAAUUCUAGUUUCCCAGGUGAUUCCAGUCCCACUUUUCUAUCUGUUAGCAUUCUUAGGUAUAGACAAAAGAAUCAACUCUAGAUCAUUUAAAUGAGAAGGGACUUAUUAAGGGAAAUCCGAAAAUCCAAGUAAUCAUUGGAAAGACUGGAGGAACAGGUGCCAGGCCGAGCUACCACCUAGAAUCUAACUGUCUUUGUUGCAAUGGGGAAGCUACUGCUCCCACUGUUGCACCCCGAACAAUGACAUUGAAGUCGCCUGUGCUGGCAGAAUGGUUAUCUGGACACUAUCUGUUCUUCAGGUAGUUCUGAUAUGUGCAAUGGAGAGCCAGAAAACUAAGUUCUAGAAAUUCACCCUAGACUCAGAGGCAAGGGAGAUUAGGAAGUGUUUAAUUUAAUUUUUUAAAGUUUAUUUAUUUAUUUUGAGAGAGAGAGAAUGGGGGGAGAGGGAGACAGAGGAACCGUGCACGCACACGCACAUGCGAGUGGGAAAGGAGCAGAGAGAGUAAGGUAGAUUCCCAAGUAGGAUCGUGCUGUCAAGCACAGAGCCCUAUGCGGGCUCAAUCCCAUGAACCUGAGAUCACGAUGUGAGCAGAGAUCAAGAGUCGGAAGCUUAACCAACUGAAUCACCCAGGUGCCCCAGGAAAUGUUUAAUUUUAGAAUUUACUUUGGGAAGACAGAAGUCACAUGUGGGAAGCUAUCAAAAUGUGGGGUGGUUUCAAAAAAUUUAGGACUGCUACAAGUACCAGAUGUUUACUAUACUUUCUUUUAUAGAACUCCUUUUCUGUGCACUUGUAAAUUUCUUUUUUUGUUAUAGAGGUAAUAUAACUAGGAAUAAGAAAGAAGUACUCAUAUUGCCACCACCCUAACACAUCUACUGUUGUUAUUUUGGUAUAUUUCCUUUUUGUCCCUUUUCAUUGCAGAAUUGUCUUCUAUAAAAUUGCGUCACAGUGAAUACUGAUUUCCUAGUGAAAUAUUAAAACACAAACAUUUCUCCUCAUGUUGCCACAUUAUCUUCAAAAUCAUGAAUGUUAGAGGCUGCUCAGUAUUGCAACAGUUGGAAUGGCUCCACUAUGUGAAUUUACUAUGUAAAUAUAAUAUUGUGACACAAGUCAGUAGGUAUAACUUUUCUGAUUGCAGUUGUAUGCUUAGUUUUUCAUUUAUGCUGUGAUUAUAUCAACAUCUUGAUGGUUUCUUAUUUUCCUGUUUUCAUCAAGAUGUGUGACCUCACAGAGAUAUAGUUCAAGACUCAGUGUAGAUAGGAAAAGAAAUGUAAAAUUUUUCAGGCAACUGUUUCAUUUAAGUACAGAAACAUAACGUUCACUCUUUAGAAUAAGGUGCUUUUAGUAUGUAUCAUCCAUGCUGGCAGCCAGUCUUCCUUUAUAAAAUGCCAGAUAAUUUUUUAAAAUUCCAGAUAACUGUUCCAUUAUUCAUUUGCUUAUGUCAUCAUAAACUUAGUAUAAUUUGUCACCAUUAUAUACAACAAAAUCCAAUUUUGUUGAACUAUACUUCCCAAAAGAAAAAGUCACACACACACUAUAGCCAUAAGAAAAAUCCAUUAAUUCAUUUGAAAUAUAUGUAUUGUGCACUCACUAUUCCAAAGAAUUCUGCUAACUCCUGUGUGAACAAAACGAUAACAUAUGAUUUCUGCCAAGGGGACAUGUAAAGUCUCUGAUCAGAAAACUUUUUUUUUUUUUUAAUUUUUUUUUUCAACGUUUAUUUAUUUUUGGGACAGAGAGAGACAGAGCAUGAACGGGGGAGGGGCAGAGAGAGAGGGAGACACAGAAUCGGAAACAGGCUCCAGGCUCUGAGCCAUCAGCCCAGAGCCCGACGCGGGGCUCGAACUCCCGGACCGCGAGAUCGUGACCUGGCUGAAGUCGGACGCUUAACCGACUGCGCCACCCAGGCGCCCCAGAAAACUUUUUUUUUUAAGCAGCAAUAUGUUUUUUAAGUUUUAUUUAAAGGCACUAAAAGAACAUUAGAUUGGUAGAGUUUUCACAAGUCUAGCACUGUGUGACUUUGAACAUGCCCAAACUCUCUGGGCCUUGGUUUCCUCAUCUGUGAAGAAAAGUUGUUAAGCUCAGAUUUCCUAUCUGUAAGAUCCUGAAAAUAAUGAAAUAUUCCACAGGCUGUCAGUGGUUCUCUAUCAAAAAAAUAAUAAUAAACAUAUAUGUACUUACUAUAUGUGUGUAUGUUUAUACACACACAUACAGACACACACACAAAAAUGAUACUGCGUUGAGAAAACUGACAAAAUGGGGAUCCCAUGUAAAAUUCACGAGGUACUAAUCUAGAAUCUAUCAUGAGAAGAACAACUGUGCCUAAGAGUUCUUGAUAGCACUUGCAGUGAUAGAAGUCUUGAUCUGCUUCUAAAUGCCAAUCAACUGCUGGGCAAGAUUGUCUCAAAUGGGAUCAUUUAGGCUCAUGUAGGUACAGCAUGCAGUUAAAAGAGAACAGUUACUAUUUUUAACUGACUAAUGGACAGCCAGGCUCUGAAUAGGUUACUUUUCAAACGUAAUCUUAUGUAAUCCUCAACAACAGCCCAAUGCCGGAGGUAUUGUUGAUUGUUUUACAGGCAUGGAAAUUGAGCCUCAGGAGGUUAAGUAUUUUGUCCAAAGCCAUGAAGCCAGCAAGCAAGCAGCAGAGCCAGUUUCCUAACUUGGGUCUGUCUGACUCCAAAGUCCACACUCCUUCAAUCCCAACCUAUUUUUGCAUAGCUCUCUAACUGGAAUUAAUUAAUAUUGAUAUUCCUGUUAUAACAGUUCUUGUGAAGUUAUCAAAACUAAUAAUGAUGUGGUCAAAAAGAGCAAAGUCACUUAGAGAAUAGAGGUGAUUUUCCAAAUAAAGUUUAAAAUAUAAUAUUAACUAAAAUGUAGUCAUUUUACACUUACACUUACACACACACACACACACACACACACACACACACACAUGCAUAUACACUGGCAUUAGUGGAAGGCAUCAAUAUUUAGGGCAUAAAUAAUUCCCUUUAUAUUCUGUUUUUCCCAUGUAGCUUUUUGAAAUGAGGUAAAGAAGAGUUUGCUCCCCCCUGAAUCCCUAGCGGCUUAUGAACAUUUGAAUCACUUUCUUUCUGGGUCUCAAUCAUUCUCAAGUGAACCCCAAAGUAGUUUCCUUUUUUCUCUAUGCUUCUUUGGAAGGAUCCUCAUUUGUAAUCAUUAUUAUUAGCAUGCAACUAGCACAUCAGACUUGCAAGGCCUUUUAUAAUUAUUGUCAAAUACAUUUUUCUAGUCUGGGAGACCAACAUUUUACAGAAACGCAAAAUAAGAUGUAGAUACAUUAAUUACCUUGGCCAGAGUGACACAGUGACUUUCUGCAGACACAGCCAAGGGAGAGCUGAAGCAGUCUUCGAUUUUAGGACAGAAACUCUGCUCCUUGGAUGAUAACAUUUAACAGUUGCACUCAUCCCAUGAUUGCAGAAAACCCACUUCACAAACAAAUCAGUGAUAGAAGUGCCUUAAAAAAAAACAAAAACAAAAACAAAAACACCCUAGAGUUCCAAUUUAUUACCCAGAAUCGACUCACCUUAUUUUCCAGUUACUCUUCAAGUAUUUGUCCUUGAGUUAAUUGAUAAAAAGCUGCCUUAGAUCUUCAUCCUUAUCUUUAAUUUGUGCACUGAUUUAAAAAAAUUUUUUUAAUGUUUAUUUAUUUGGGAGAGAGAGACAGAAUGUGAGUGGGGGAGGAGCAGAGAGAAAGGGAGACACAGAAUCCAAAGCAGGCUCCAGGCUCUGAGUUGUCAGCACAGAGCCCGACGAGGGGCUCAAACUCACAGACCAGGGGCUCGAACUCACAGACCAGGAGAUCAGGACCCGAGCCGAAGUCGGACACUUAACAGACUGAGCCACCCAGGCGCCCCAUAAUUUGUGCACUGAUUUUAAAAUAAGAGACACAAUGCUAUUUUAUGUACAAUAGACUUCCUAGCUACUAUUUUGGUUUGCUCUCUCAAAUUCUUGUGUUAACAUAAGACUUGAUGCUAAAUAAAUGUGAGAGAAAAGUUGCUGCUGGCCCCAGAAACAGAAGUCCUCCUGUAUUUGACUUCUAGCCAGACCCACCUGAACAUGGCCCCUGUUUUUAAAUCAAUAUUUUAAAAUUCACUUUAUUGCUCACUCUUGGCCAGAGGAGCUUCCAUCUUUUAACCUUUCUGAUGACUAAGCUGAAAAUGUCUUUGAUUUGGAUGAAAAAUAAUACAGUUAAGAGAAGGUAGUGAAUCUUUGCUGUGUGGCUAAUAAAUAAGACCAUGGCAUUUUAUAUUUGAUUUCAUGAGGCUUUGAAUUUGUAGUUAAGAAGCAGACUCUCCAGCAUAUUAUAAAUGAAAUGCCAACUUUAUUUAAAAUUUCAUAUUAGGUCAUAUGACAAUUUGACAAUAAUUUUGAUAGCUACAAAAGAAAUGAGCACCAACAGAGUUUAUUUAAGAAGCUGUGUCAUCCUGUUCAUUUAGGAGCAGAAAAAUAAAACUCCAGGAACAGAAGCACUAGUUUGUUUUAUUAGGUAGAAUCUGAGCAAUAAUCUUUAGGUUGAUUUAUUGGUAAUUUUACAGAUGAGAUAUUUGCUAAUUUCUCUGAAGUAUAAUUUGGAAGACAGAGAAUUUCAUUACUUGACAAAUAUUGGCAGUCUUCCUUGCAGAUGAUUUUUCUCUGAACUGUCUGCUAAGAAUGUUUUCUUAAUUAUGAUGCUAUUUUACAACUAGUUUUAUUUAAUCUUUUGAAUUAAAUUACGUCUUUGAAAAUAUUUAUGGAAGGUCAGAUUUUUUGGGAAAUCUGGAAUCAGUGAAAAUAAAUUUAUGCAGCUGAGAAACUUAACAUGUAUAUCUAAAGUGUAAACACAAAUUCAAACAUUUCUGUUUGAUGGCUCUAGUGUGAUGCACUUUAGUCUUUAUAGAGCAAGGAAAAAUUGAAUUAAUAAAAUGUUGUUUCUGUCACCAGAUUAUCUAAUUGACUCAUUUCUUGGCACAGGGAGUGAGGCAGUCCAUAUGCAGUAGUCAUUGGAUUGGGAUCCAGAAUUACUGGGUGUAUCAGAUCCUCACCAAGCUAAUGUUGUAAUUUAUAGACUUAGGUGGCUGGUAAAGGAUAUUUUAUCAAGUAACUACAAAAUACUUUGAAGGUUGCAAGUCCUGAACGUUAUUAGAUCAUAAUAUAUAGAGUAGAUAGAUGUUAAAAAACUGCUCACUCAUUACUGUCAUGUUUGAAUGGAUUUCCUAGGAUUGAGAAACUUACUUAGCUAAAUAUAGAGCCCAGUUGCUAGUGUUUGGAGGAAAACUGCUAUACUAGACUCCCUGAGCAAUAAUAUGUCAGUCUCUAAUGUAGCAUGGAUAUAGAAUUACAUGCUCUACUUGACUUAUUUUGGUUCUUUCAAACUGGUCCCCUGGAGAUUUCAUAAUUUUAACUUUGAAUUAUUUAUUUUCAUAUUUCUUUUGGUCCCAUCCAAUCCUUGUGGUCAGGGAGAUAUUUGCUUGAAUCCAAUCAGAGAAACAUAAAUGGGUCCACUACAUAUUGGUCUAUGACUCUUUUAUUACCAAUGCUCUGAUUAUUGUGUCACUGACUACUGGGGGCUCCAGUUUGGGACUGACUUGGUUGUAUGAAUUUGACGGUCUUCCCAACUGGUAACGGUCCUGGGAAUGACUUUUCCUUCCUAAAUCACCCAUUACAGAAAUACCUUCAUUAAAAGUACUUCUGAGAAUCUCCAAAGUAAAACAAACAAAAAGUCUCAAAAUCCAGAAUAUUAGCAGACACAUAAAAUUACAUGAUUAUUAAAGCCUCUUCUUGUCCAAAUUCUACAAUUUAAAGGGGGGAAAAAAAGCUCUCCCAGCAAUUUCUACUUAUCCCACCCAGUGGAUGUUACCCGGAGUUGACCUGCGACUGUGUUGCAAUUUCUUCAUUGUUCCAGGGGGAUGUGGUUGCUUGGGAGAGACCUGGGACACUGAGGUGGGAACAAGGCUGUCCACAAAGACAGACUACAGGAGAGGCCAGGUGCCAGAAGCUGUUUUAUUUCUAGGUAAUAGAAAGUGACAGAGCCUAGGUGAGGGUGAGGCAGUGAGUACGUGGGAUGCAAAAUUUAAGAAGGUGCCUGCUCUCAGGGGCAGCCAGAGAGUGAAUGCCUCCUUGAAUUUGGUACCCAAGGAAUCUGGCCCUGGAAAAAGGUCUUAACAAGGUCUGUGUCAAGCAGAAAACCAGCCACAAACCUGGGAAUCUUGAAGCCGGGAGUGUAAGUUGGAGAAGCCAAUCUAAUCAAAAGGAGAGCUAGACAGAGAAAUUCUCUGUAUUCUAUUGUGUCCUAUCUCUAAUCUCAGGUACAAAAAUCCAGGAGUUUCACAGGAAUUGUAAAAUCUCUCCCUGCUAAUUCCUUGUUCUCCCAGGAGCACCCACAAAGAGGAAGGGACAAUUCCAGGAGUCAGAAUGGCGACUGCAGAAAAGAAAUAGGUGUGAAACGGAGGGGGGAAAAAAAGGCCAGGUCAAAAUGAAUUAUGCAUGCAAAGACUUAGUCAUGGUGUUCCUCCUAGGCCAACAAUCCCUCUGCUGAGCUAGGCAUGGGUCUUUGAUGGAGGCAUCUUGCCAGGUGGCUUUAAAGCUGCUGGUUGUGCUUUGAGGGAUGCUUUCACUCUCUUGGUAGUUACUGUUCUCUUUUGCACAGAGUCCAGGGUAGCUAGACCUAUGUUUUUAUUUCACAAAACUGAACUUAACUUGUAACUCAACUUAAAUUUCUAUUUCAAGAAUCCAUUCUGUUUGAUAGCAGAAAUAUAGUUCAGUAGACUGCAGAUAAGCGUAUUUCUGGUUUCUUUCAUCAUUUCUGGUAGACUCCAUGAAUUUAGAAUUUUGUCCUUUCCCUUCUCUCUCCCCAGAGUGGCAUCUAAGUUCUAGGGACAUAGGGUGAAAUGUUGGGUUCUUGGACGCUAAUGGCCCUCCAGGCUGCCAUUCAUGGCUAUGUCUAUGACAUUACUAUCAUCUUUGGUCCUGGAAACCUGUAGCUCCCUGACUGUGAUGACUCUCCCAGAGCCAUGUCUUCAUCCUUCUUAGGGAUUGGAAAAUUGUUGGAUGUGCCAUUCUGGAGACUAUGGGCACCGUGGAAGACUUGUCAGGGGGGAGGAGGGGCUGUAUUAGACACAUCUGGAUGCCACUUCUACCUUUUUCUGUUUACCAUGUCAACACCUGAGAAGUGAGCACAGGUCCCUCUGCUCUCAGAUUCCCAACAUUUGCCUGGGAAUUCUAUCAGUCAUCAUGACUCCUUCUCAACCCCUUCUCUUGGGACAUCAGCCAUCUCUUGGGACCACUCUCUCUUGCUCUCUUAUUUGACUUCUCUCUUCAGCUUAGAGAAUUACCUGACACUACAUUGUCCAAUAUGAUAGCCACUAGUCACAUGUGGUUGCUAAGCUCUUGAAAUGUGGCUAGUCCAAAAUGAGAUGUACUGAAGCGAAUUUCAAAUACUUAGUAUGAAGAAAAGAUCAUAAAAUAUCUCAUUAUAGUUUAUACAUUGAAAUGAUAUUUUGGAUAUGCUGAAAUAGACAAGAGAGUGUUAUAAUUAAUAUUACUUGUUUCUGUUUACUUUUUGAAAAAAUGUGGCUACUAGAAAUUUUUAAUUACAUGAUAUUUGUUUUGAACAGAGCUCAUGUAAAAAGUUUGAGGAAGUGUUAUGGACUAAAUUGUAUGCUGCCUUUCCCCUCUCCCCAGUUUAUCUGUUGAAGUCCUAAUCCCCGAUGUGACUGUAUCUGGAGAUAGAACCUUAAGGGAGGUAAUUAAUGUUUAAUAAGGUCAUGAUGGUGGGGCCCUAAUCCAGUAGGAUUGGUGCCCGUAUUAGAACAGGAAGAGGCACCAGGAAAGCACAAAUAGAAAAAAGACCAUGUGAGGACACACUGAGAAGGCAUCAGUCUGUAAACCAGGAAGAGAGAACUCAUCAGAAACCAACCCUGCCAGGCACCUUGAUUUCGAAUGUCCAGCUUCCAGAACCAUGGGUAAAUAGAUUUCUGUUGUUUAAGCCACCCAAUCCAUGGAAUUCUGUUAUGUUGUUUAAGCCACCCAAUCCAUGGUAUUCUAUUAGUCAGCCUCAGCAGACUAAUACAGCGAGAAAAACUCAUUCCGAUAUCAUGUAUCCUUCCAAAAUUAAAUGGUUACAGCAUUAAUUUUAGCUUUAGAUCCUCAAAACCCUUUCUCACAGCCAAUUGGUUAUGCCAAGAAUUUUUAAAAUCUAGUUUGAAACUCAAAAGCUGAGAGAAAUGGACUCUUUAGUUCUGUGUUGUCUGUUUGUGACCUUUCUUCCCCCAAGGCCAUAGAAACAGCUAAUCUCUGCUGCCUGAAGUUGAGGAAAAGGUCACAUAGCAAAAGGGAAAUAUAGAAAAUGAAAUAUACAUUGGUUAAUAUCAAAAUAUCAAUCUGCUAUAGCAGUUACUUUUUUUUCCUUUCAAUCACAACUCGGGAGGAUCUGAUUUCAUUUAUUUGGUCUCUCAUUAAUUUGCUCUGUACUUAUUGCCUACAGUUUAUGUAUUUUUUAGUAUGAAUAGCUUUCAGAUAGCAUUUGCAUUAAAAAUUUCAAAUCUUCAAUAAUGAAAGAUAUUUUCUGUUAAAGGAAUUGAAAGUAUCAUAGAAGCUGCAUGGUAGUGGUGGAGAGAGGUGGUUAAAGGACUAAAAUCCUGCUGUCCAUCUCAUUAGAGCUCAUUUUGUUAGCUAUGGAGGAGACCUUGUUACCCAUCCCCAGAACAGAUCCUGAAGUCCAAUGAUUCCUGACAUAACACAUACAACACACACAGGGCUGUGGUGGUCCCUGGGGGAAUCAGAAAGCCAAGUCUUGCACUUGGAUGGACAUGGCUGGCUUCUUCCAUCCUUUGUACUUUUCUGAUUCACCAGGCUUAAGUAGGCCUUACUGCUCAUCUCACUGCACUAUAAAUGUCUGCUUGCUUCUCUGUGAACCUUCAGAAAGCAGGAAAUCAUAGGUUUCAUUUCUGAAUAUUCCUUACCCAAUGCCUACCAUAUGAUAGGUGUAUAAUAAAAGUUUUGGAAAUGAAACAAAAUGAAUGCAUGAAUCCUACAAGUUCUGCCCACAGAUCCUCACUUCAGGCCAUCUCCUACCUCUUUUCUCUGCUGGCCUGGACACAGGUCAGGCAUUCUCCUCCAGCUCCUUUCACCUUAACCAACCUCUCCUCUUCUUUAUAAAAGUAAAUUCUUUUAAAAACUUGUUUCAUUACCCAAGAACUAUAUGACGAUAUUCUCAGUAUAAAAUAAUAAAAUAAUACAAAUAAAAUUAUUUAUUUAUUUUAAAGUUUAUUUUUUUUAUUUUGAGAGAGAGAGAGAGAGAGAUCACAGAUCACGAGCAGGUAGGGGAAGAGAGAGAGGAAGAGAGAGAAUCCCAAGCAGACUCCAUGUUGUUGGCACAGAGCCCAAUGCAGGGCUCAAUUUCAUGAAACAUGAGAUCAUGACCUGAGCCAAAAUAAAGAGUUGGAUGCUUAACUGAUUGAGCCACCCAGGUACCCCUUAUUUAUUUUUAAUACAAAGAAAAUUUAAAUGCCCAUCACCACUCCAUAGCAAUUCUACCGUCUAUUGUUUAGUACUGUGGGAACAGCCUUCUAAAACUUUUCCCAUGCAUUUUUAUAUAUGCAAUGUAUUAUCUACUAAAAUAGAUAUAUAUGUGUGAGUAUAUUAAUAUGUGAAUGCUAAUGUAUAUUAAAUAUUAAUAUAUGUUUAGCCUAAAUGAUUGUAUACUAUUUUGCAACUUACUUUUUCAUCCCCACUUAAUAAGUUGAUAUCCUUUUAUGUGAGUGUACAUUCAUCCUCCUCAUUCUUUUUUUAGUUGCUGUAAAAUAUUCUAUAGUGCAAGCCAAAAUGCAUUUAAAAUUUAUUUUUUUAUUUUUAUUUUUUAUUUUUCACUGCCAGAAACAAUGAAGCAAUGAACAUUGACCUGUAUAGCUGCUUCUUUGGACACAUGUGCAAAUGUUUUUUCUGAUAAAUUCUUAGAGGACGACUUGCUGAGUUAAAGAUACAUGCAGGUGCGAGGGACAUUCCUGGGGAAGAGCCUUUCUUGGCCAUUUACCACAGUGUUUCCUUACUUAAACACCAAAUGGACUUACUAAACUGUACUAGGGCAGAUGGCACAGCAAGACUUAGUCUGUUCCAGUCCAAAGAGAUAAUUAUGUAAAUUACACGACCAUAGACAUUAUAUGAUAUCCUCUAACAUCCCUUUGACAUACCACGGCAAUCUUCCUCCACUGCAUAGCAGUAUGGGAAGUGCCCUUCUAAGUCCUUUCCCAUACAUUUACUUCCUGUCUUAAGGAUCUUUGCAUGCCUGCUACUUUGUAAUACCUCUGCUAACGAAUAGAGGAAGCUGCCUUCAGUACUCCAAAUGAGGAAAGAAAAGCUGUUACUGGAUUCCAUUCCUGUCUAUCAUCUUGUUCAAAAGGAGGGGAGUGAGUCAGAUCAAGAGAAUGAGUCACCAAGUCAUAGCCAAGGUGAUAAACCUCAAGACUUGCAUCUAUCUGCUCCAUGGUCAAAGAGGAAAACCUUACCAUCUCAGUGGUGAGAAACCAGAGUGUGUACUAUCUGAACAUGUAAU